GAGCUCAAUUCGGCGGCACAUACCCUAAAACCGGAACAACACUGAGAAGGGUAGCAUGAUGCCUGUGCAAAUGAGUGAAGCAUUUCAUAUUUUU
ensembl:snRNA U6 U6 spliceosomal RNA